AGUGAACGCUGGCGGUAGGCCUAACACAUGCAAGUCGAACGGCAGCACAGUAAGAGCUUGCUCUUACGGGUGGCGAGUGGCGGACGGGUGAGGAAUACAUCGGAAUCUACUUUUUCGUGGGGGAUAACGUAGGGAAACUUACGCUAAUACCGCAUACGACCUACGGGUGAAAGCAGUGGAUCUUCGGACCUUGCGCGAUUGAAUGAGCCGAUGUCGGAUUAGCUAGUUGGCGGGGUAAAGGCCCACCAAGGCGACGAUCCGUAGCUGGUCGGAGAGGAGGAUCGGCCACACUGGAACUGAGACACGGUCCAGACUCCUACGGGAGGCAGCAGUGGGGAAUAUUGGACAAAGGGCGCAAGCCUGAUCCAGCCAUACCGCGUGGGUGAAGAAGGCCUUCGGGUUGUAAAGCCCUUUUGUGGGGAAAGAAAAGCAGCAGGUUAAUACCCCGCUGUUCUGACGGUACCCAAAGAAUAAGCACCGGCUAACUUCGUG
rnacentral:rRNA from 1 species